GUCUNUUUGAGGUAUAAAAAGUCGGGCCUGCUCACUGAUUUGAAAAUUUUAAGGGCCGCGGUAUUAUGACCGUGCAAAGGAGCAUAAUCAUUAGGUUUUUAAAUGGAAUCUUGUAUGAAUGGUUGGACAAAGGAAAAGCUGUCUUUAUUUUAAAGUUUGAAUUUUACUUUUAAGUGAAAAGGCUUAAAUAUUUUAGAGGGACGAUAAGACCCUAUAAAGCUUUACAUUGUGAUUAUAUUUGAUUAAAUUUUAAAGUUAAAAAUUUAAUAUAAGAAUAUGUUUUAUUGGGGAGAUAGAAGUAUAAAUUAUGCUAACUGCUUUAAUAAAAAACAAUUUAUUUAUGAAUAUAUAAAUUUAAGAGAUCCUAUAGAUAAUAUAGAAAAAAGAUUAAGUUACUUUAGGGAUAACAGUGUAAUUUUUUUUGAGAGUUCAUAUCGAAAAAAAAGUUUGCAACCUCGAUGUUGAAUUAAGAUAUCUAUAUAAUGUAGCUGUUAUAUAAGAAGGUCUGUUCGACCUUU
rnacentral:rRNA from 1 species